AUACGGAGGAUCCGAGCGUUUUCCGGAUUUAUUGGGUUUAAAGGGUGCGCAGGCGGGAGAUUAAGUCGGCGGUGAAAUUUUGCAGCUCAACUGUAAAAGUGCCUUCGAUACUGGUUUCCUUGAGUGUGGAUGAAGUAGGGGGAAUUUGUGGUGUAGCGGUGAAAUGCUUAGAUAUCACGAGGAACUCCGAUUGCGCAGGCAGCUUACUAAACCACUACUGACGCUCAGGCACGAAGGCGUGGGGAUCAAACAGGAUUAGAUACCCUGGUAGUCCACGCAGUAAACGAUGAUUACUGGCUGUUUGCGAUACAAUGUAAGCGGCUGAGCGAAAGCGUUAAGUAAUCCACCUGGGGAGUACGUUCGCAAGAAUGAAACUCAAAUGAAUUGACGGGG
rnacentral:rRNA from 1 species